ACAGAGAAGCAGAACAUCCUUCUUCAGCACAUGCAUGAAAAGAAAUUAUUUACAGUACCUCAUUUUGAUCAAUAAAUGUGGUCAUGACCUGGAGCCUCGUUUUCGUGUUAAAGCUUAUUUCCACAUUUAUUGGUCAAAAUAAAGAAUUUUUUUCAUGCAUGUGUUGAAGAAGGAUGUUCUGCUUCUCUGU